AACAAACGCUGGCGGCGUGCCUAACACAUGCAAGUCGAACGCGAAAAUCGGCUUCGGCCGAUGAGUAAAGUGGCGCACGGGUGAGUAACGCGUGGAUAAUCUACCCUUCAGUUGGGAAUAACUUAUCGAAAGGUGAGCUAAUACCGAAUAAAACUGCCUGACCACGGUCGGGUAGUCAAAGAUAGCCUCUGCUUGCAAGCUUUCGCUGAAUGAUGAGUCCGCGUACCAUUAGCUAGUUGGUGGGGUAAUGGCCUACCAAGGCGACGAUGGUUAGCUGGUCUGAGAGGAUGAUCAGCCACACUGGAACUGAGACACGGUCCAGACUCCUACGGGAGCAGCAGUGAGGAAUCUUGCGCAAUGGGGGAAACCCUGACGCAGCAACGCCGCGUGAGUGAGGAAGGUCUUCGGAUCGUAAAGCUCUGUCGGGUGGAAAGAAAUGUAUGGGGUUAAUAGCCUUCAUACUUGACGGUACCACCAAAGGAAGCACCGGCUAACUCCG
rnacentral:rRNA from 1 species